rnacentral:sRNA from 1 species
UGCUUGGCAGAUCACCCAAGGGCAGUUCGACGAGCAUUAUGUGCUGUCUUCUCGGGUGCGCACCGGCCGCAGCAUCCGUGGGCUGAGCCUGCCGCCCGCCUGCACCCGGGCCGAGCGGAGGGAGGUAGAGAACGUGGCCAUCACUGCCCUGGAGGGCCUCAAAGGGGACCUGGCUGGCCGCUACUACAAGCUGUCCGAGAUGACGGAGCAGGACCAGCAGCGGCUCAUCGAUGACCACUUUCUGUUUGAUAAGCCAGUGUCCCCUUUAUUAACAUGUGCUGGGAUGGCCCGUGACUGGCCAGAUGCCAGGGGAAUCUGGCAUAAUUAUGAUAAGACAUUUCUUAUCUGGAUAAAUGAGGAGGAUCACACCAGGGUAAUCUCAAUGGAAAAAGGAGGCAAUAUGAAACGAGUAUUUGAGCGAUUCUGUCGUGGACUAAAAGAAGUAGAACGGUUAAUCCAAGAACGAGGCUGGGAGUUCAUGUGGAAUGAGCGCCUAGGAUACAUUUUGACCUGUCCUUCGAACCUUGGAACAGGACUACGAGCUGGUGUCCAUGUUAGGAUCCCAAAGCUCAGCAAGGUACUGUUAUACGCCCAGUGGCCCUGAUGGGCCAGGAUCAGCUCAGAUGCGACUGCUUUGUGGAGGAAGAAAACAUCAAUGCCCAUUCCUUAACCCUUACUUUCUCUAUCUACAAUAUAAAAAUAAGAAA